rnacentral:rRNA from 1 species
GAUGAACGCUGGCGGCGUGCCUAAUACAUGCUAGUCGAGCGAACGGACGAGAAGCUUGCUUCUCUGAUGUUAGCGGCGGACGGGUGAGUAACACGUGGAUAACCUACCUAUAAGACUGGGAUAACUUCGGGAAACCGGAGCUAAUACCGGAUAAUAUUUUGAACCGCAUGGUUCAAAAGUGAAAGACGGUCUUGCUGUCACUUAUAGAUGGAUCCGCGCUGCAUUAGCUAGUUGGUAAGGUAACGGCUUACCAAGGCAACGAUGCAUAGCCGACCUGAGAGGGUGAUCGGCCACACUGGAACUGAGACACGGUCCAGACUCCUACGGGAGGCAGCAGUAGGGAAUCUUCCGCAAUGGGCGAAAGCCUGACGGAGCAACGCCGCGUGAGUGAUGAAGGUCUUCGGAUCGUAAAACUCUGUUAUUAGGGAAGAACAUAUGUGUAAGUAACUGUGCACAUCUUGACGGUACCUAAUCAGAAAGCCACGGCUAACUACGUG